rnacentral:misc_RNA from 1 species
GAUGAAGAACGUAGCGAAAUGCGAUAAGUAGUGUGAAUUGCAGAAUUCAGUGAAUCAUCGAAUCUUUGAACGCACAUUGCGCCCCUUGGUAUUCCAUGGGGCAUGCCUGUUCGAGCGUCAUUUGUACCUUCAAGCUCUGCUUGGUGUUGGGUGUUUGUCUCGCCUCUGCGUGUAGACUCGCCUCAAAACAAUUGGCAGCCGGCGUAUUGAUUUCGGAGCGCAGUACAUCUCGCGCUUUGCACUCAUAACGACGACGUCCAAAAGUACAUUUUUACACUCUUGACCUCGGAUCAGGUAGGGAUACCCGCUGGACUUAAGCAUAUCAAUAAGCGGAGGA